rnacentral:lncRNA from 12 species
CUACUUAUUUUUUUUGCGGGGUGGGUGGGGGAGGAUGUUUUCUGAUGUGUUGUAAGGGUGACUAUGUAGGAACAGCCAAAUGGAAGAGAUGUGUAAGGCAAGGCACGGGAGGAGGAGGGGGGGUGGGGGGCCGCCUCUCAGCACCCGGAUGUGCCCACCCACCUGCAAGGCCUGUCUUCCUACCUUUGAGCUCAGUGACUCCGGGAAGCUCCUGGACCUUUUGUCUCAUUUUGCUCCUGUGUAAGAUGGGAACAACAGUUGUCACCCCAAGGGGUGGUUGUGAGGAACGGGUGAGCGCCCCAUGUACAGAGUUCAUCCCACGUCGCCCCUGGACGUGGCACGUGUCUAUGAGUGCAGGCCAGGUCCGAAUUUUCAGUGCCUGGCAUCUGGGUGAUGGAGUUGUGCUCUUCCAAAUGGCCCCACGUCGCUCCCAUCAUUUUCUCUCAAAUAUGACACAUUGGCGCAUCCUAAGAAACAAUCAACAGCUCUCGGGGCGGCCCUGUUUGGGUCCUCUCAGCCCCGGGUCUCCACAUCUUGUGCGCACUUGGCUCCCGUGGCGAACCCUGCUUUCUAAUAAGCAGAACCAGGUUCCUCGGGUGAUGGUGAUCACCACCGCAGCGCUCUUUCCCACGGAUCGCCGUGGAUCAGCCAACAUCAACACAUCUCAUUCCCCUGCAAGGAUUUCAGGAGGAUGGCAUCAGAAUUCCGGGGUGAGGGGAGGGGAGACAGGAAUGGCAAAGACCAAUCAUCCACCUUCGCCUCCACGGUGGUCGCUGUGUUGAGAGUCCCACCAGGAAUCAAGAGUGUGUUUUAAAAAAAAAAAAAAAAUCAAAAAGCCUUAUCUCACGUCUUGCUCUUCUUAGCCUGUUGGCUUAUUUGUGGGAAGACAAGGGGUGUUGGGCCUCCUGAGGUUAUUUAAUUAUUUAUUUUUUACGGGGGAAUCUUCCAAUAUCACCAAGAGGAAACCCACCUUCCCGGAGAUCUUGAUGUGUGAUCCAUAC